GACGAACGCUGGCGGCGUGCUUAAUACAUGCAAGUCGAGCGAGGCCCAUCCAGUGGCAACACUGGGGAAGGCCGAGCGGCGAACGGGUGAGUAACACGUGAGCAACCUGCCCCGAAGUCUGGAAUAACAUCGGGAAACCGGUGCUAAUACCGGAUUGCCCCACCUGACCGCAUGAUCGGGUGAGGAAAGAUCUAUCGCUUCGGGAGGGGCUCGCGGCCUAUCAGCUAGUGGCGGGGUAACGGCCCACCAAGGCGUCGACGGGUAGCUGGUCUGAGAGGACGACCAGCCACACUGGGACUGAGACACGGCCCAGACUCCUACGGGAGGCAGCAGUAGGGAAUCUUGCGCAAUGGGCGAAAGCCUGACGCAGCAACGCCGCGUGGGGGAUGACGGCCUCGG
rnacentral:rRNA from 1 species